UACGUAGGGGCCUAGCGUUGUCCGGAUUUAUUGGGCGUAAAGAGCUCGUAGGCGGUUUGGUGAGUCGGGUGUGAAAUCUCCACGCUCAACCUGGAGACGCCACCCGAUACUGCUAUAGCUUGAGUCCGGUAGGGGAGCGUGGAAUUCCUGGUGUAGCGGUGAAAUGCGCAGAUAUCAGGAGGAACACCAGCGGCGAAGGCGGCGCUCUGGGCCGGUACUGACACUGAGGAGCGAAAGCGUGGGGAGCAAACAGG
rnacentral:rRNA from 1 species